GUGAAUCAUCGAAUCUUUGAACGCACAUUGCACUCUCUUCGGAGAGUAUGCGUGUUUGAGGGUGAGCCUAUAAAAAAUCGACAUUGUUGCUGUUUCGCGGUGGCGCUCGUCGGAAAUUGCGUAGUCUUAAAUCUAUGGGUUUUAAGCGACUUAUAAUUUUAUUUUUGGUUUCAUGAACGCUUCUAAGAUUUAUUUCUUUAUACGUUUAUGGUAUCGUUUUAUAUUAGAAGUGACAAUCAUAACGUAUAGCGCCUAUAAUAUUUCAUCUAACGACA
rnacentral:misc_RNA from 1 species